UCCACUUCAACCAAAACAUCAACCCUCUUCUCUCUCACUCUCUGUAAAUACCGACCAAACCCUGACCACUGGAUAAUGGCAAAUUUCGAUGGUCUUAGCCUUUCCCCUUAACUUUUUUAUCUUUUUCUCACCCCGUCACUUCAGUCAUCUCUCUCCAUAACCUUUUGUCUUCUCAAAUCAAAGCUACAAAAGCUCUUAUCUAUCACUGUCAUCUCUGAGAAGUGAAGAAAAUCAAAAGACCUCUGAAUUUUGAGGUCAUUACCUCUUUAAACCGACGGUUCCAAAUCCUCCACCUCAAAAUCGUUUCUUUCUUCCUUCACGUCAAUAGAAAGGGAAAAAAUCCAUCAUUUUAUUUUUGAAUUUCAUCAUUAUCACCUGCAAUCGAGCCUUUCAAGAAUUUAAAUUUUGAAUUCAAGAAGUUUUCUCAAAAGUUGAAGAAUUCUAAUUUCUCUCUAUAGAUACUUGCGUUCAUAAUCCAUUUAAGGACAUUUUUUGGCAGCCAUUGCUCCUACAACUCAGAAAGUUGUUACUCUUUUUCACGCUAAAAAAUAUACUUGUUUACUUCACUCUAUUUUGUUUCUCGACCGAGCGGAAUUCCUUUCUGUUUUGGUCAUCUCUUUGGUCUUGAAAAACUUUUCAGACACCUCUUUACUCCAAAACUUUUCGAAUUAGCUGUUAGUUUCCCUCUAGGAAAGCUUUAAACUUUAGUUGUUAGUAUUUUUGGAGUAAUUAAAAGUCUCCCCGAUUUUUAACUUUUUCCUUGGUCGAUUUUGUGUUGAUUUACGUUACUCAAUCUGAGGUUUGAAUGGUUAUGGGAGUAAGGAGUAGAUCCGAGACAUGCGCCUCACGUUCACUGCACCAAAAUAGGAUCUGAGGCUCAGUCCGGGGUCCCGCUAAGCAGUAGGUGGUGUGUCUGAGAUUUGCAGUUGAUGAGCCUCCCCUAUUUCGAAAGGCCGGGUUUAUGGAACAUUGCUAUUUAUUUGAUUCAUGGUUUGACUGGGGGCCUUGUAUAAGUUUUUCUUUUAGACGGAUGUUGAUUCUUGUAAUUGUUUUAGAUUUCACAGACUGAUUCAGAUGUUUGAGUGUCAAGAGUUUCCUUUCGUAUUGACCAUGUUUUC